rnacentral:lncRNA from 1 species
AAUGUAAUAAUGCAAGUAAAGCACUGUAUAGUGUCUGGCACAAAGAAAUGCUAAAUAAAUGUUAGCUAUUAAAACUGAGGUUGAUGAUAAUGAGUCAUAGUAACUAUUAUAAUUAGCCAAAGUGAAUGAACUUUCAACCCUAUCAUUGCAUAUUUGAUGGUGAUCUUUCUGAUAUAAUAUUUUUAAAAAGCAUUGGAUAGUUUUUUUAUUUGUCCUAAGAUAUCUUAAAUUUAAUCUAAAUUAGAAUCCUGAGACAAAACAACUACUAUUUCUACAGCAAUAACAUAAUUAACAUUUCUUCCAUAAUAUGUAAUAGACUUAAAGAAAGCUUGGAAAUAGGUAGAGAUUUUAAUGAUAUUUGGUUGUCCUAACUUAUUGCUAAAGCCCAUGAAACUCUGUUACAAAAGCUCUUAGCAACUGCACUUGAAUCAGUUGUGCAGGACAUCUGCUUGUUUGGUUAUGGGGAAAUGGUUGAACUUAAACAUGAAAGAUUAAAUGAAAAUCCACAUAACAGACUAUUACUGUUGAUUUUCAGAUUGAUAAGUGCAGGAAAUUAAGGUGGUUAGAGAAAGGAAGCAAUGUGCCACUGCAGGAGGAAAACCUGUAACUGCCAAGUGAUAUGCCAUUGUGUCUGCUUCAAAAUCUCCUAGGCAUUCUCUGUAAAUGACAGAGAGACAACUCCAAAAAUAGCAGUGCUUGGCAACACUUUAAACCAACUGAAAAUAUCAUUACUUUGGAAUAUCUAAAAGAAACAAAGAUACCAAUGGAAAGACAUGGAUUCAGGAGACAAAUUGGCAGUUACAUGUAGAAUAUUUAAAAUAUUUAAAAAGAAAGCUCAAUGAGUUAUCAUUAAUCAUAUUCACAGUGUUUUAAUAAUAAUCGACUAAGCAUACUCUGAAAAUAUCCACAAGAAAGAAAUCCCAACUAAAACUAGGUUACCCUCCAAGUUCAAGCCCAGUUCUUAGACAAAUGCAUGUCUCCAGGCAUUAAAUCCAGAGUGGGAAAUACAUACACAUUCAAAUCAAUAACAGUAGUUGCCUGGCAGUCAAUAUUAAACAUAAGAUUGCAAUGAUUUGUCCUGACUCUGUAGGAAAAAAUGCUGUGAUCCAUUAGUGAUGUCUUUCAGGAGAACAGAAAAGAGAUUGUGGGCCUAUGCCCUGUCUGUAUUUUAUAUCCUCCCAGUUUAAUAGUGUGCUUCUGGUCCCAUCAGACCAGAUGCCCCAGGUGUCACAGCUGAGCAUCUGCCUUCUUCCUCUGAGCCUGAGUUCUUGCCUUGGCAACGUGCCUAGAAACACCAGUCUCCCUAGGAUGGAGGGACAGAGCAUUCAUCAUGUGCCAGUGAUAUAAACCCAACUCAAACUAGCUGAAAUAGAAAAAACAGGAUGUAUUGUCUCACUUAACUGUGGAGUCCAGGGAUGAAACUAGUGCCCAGCCCAAGAUUCAGAAGUUUUAUCAAGUUGUCAGAAAUCUGUUUCUCUCUCAUCCUUCCCUCCUUCUCUUAAAAAGGCUUUCUAUAGAGAAAGCAAGAUGGCUACCAGCAAUGUCAGACUCAUAUCUCCCCCUUCAGUAACCACAGUGGAAGGUACAAAUCUUUCCUGAUGGCUCUUAANAAAAAAAAAAAAAAAAAAAAAAAAAAAAAAAUCCCAGGCAAGAUUCUGAUUGUCCUUGAUUCAAUUGCAUGGAUACACCAAAACUACUAAAGCCAGAAGGGCUGUGAACUCUGAUCAGCUAGAUUUGGCUUCAGUGUCCACCCAGGUAGCUAAGAGUAGGAAAGGGGCUCUAAGCAUCGGUGGUUUCUGAAGAAAAAGUACCUAUGGACACUGGGGAUCUGGAAAUUACCUUAAAAUCAUUUGUGGUCACAGAUCCUGAGGAAGUCUUCAGUUACUGAAGGGCACACAUCCCAGAGCUGGACCAUUUGAAAGCUUCUCUACUGAUUCUCUUAAUCAGCUGGUGUGGAAAUCCUUGCUUAAGAUGCAGGAGGAGUUCUCAUUACAUGGAGAGGUUUCACAGGGAGAUUUUAUUCUCCUUUUGGCAAAGAAAAUCUUCUUUCAAUUUACAAGGGGAAGAGAAUGAGAGAAAGAGAGAGAGGGAGAGAGAGACUUCUACUUUAAGGAAAAAGUUCUGGGGAAAGAAACGAAGUCAGGGAAGUAAGUCUGACACUCACAUUACUUGGAUGGAGGAGACACUUGCUGAGAACAUGUACUCAUUACUGACAGCCUCUCAGAGAUCAAGGGACAAGGUCAGAGCAGUUUUCUGUACUUUUAGGUGGGAUCCUGAAGAACUGCAGCCUAAGUGUAAAGGUAAACUGGAAGCAAAUCAGCCCUCACACAGGCUACAGCCCAGUUUUAUAACAUCUAGAGGCUAAAAAGUGUCAGUCAAUACAUGCUUGGUUUAAGGUGAUCCCAGAUUGCUAAUACACUCCUGUGAUGCAGGAACAAAUAAAACUUGUCUCAUAACAAAGAUAAUAAUCAUUUCAGGCCUCAAAUUACUUCCAUAAGUUUUAAAAAUAAAUGUUUGGGACACAAUCAAAAAUAACUAGACACACAAAAAAGACAAAACACCAUUUGCAAGAGCCAGCAGAGAUAACAGACAACAGAAACAGACUCAGAGAUACUCUAAAUUUGAAUAGAUACGACACACCAUAAAGCUCCAAUGCCUGCUAUAUUCAAGGCGAUAAAAGAUACGUUUUAAAAAUUUGGCAAGGAGGUGUAAACUAUAAAGGUGACACUGCAGAUUUGAAAAGCAAUCAAAUAGGAAUUCUAGAACAGAAAAUACAAUGGCCAAAAUUAAGAACACAGGUUCUUAACUCAGGACAGGUUGAACAGAAGAUUAAACAAAGCAAUAAAGAAAGAGUGAACCAAAAGAUAUAUAAGAAUAAAAGUCCAGGGUUUCUGUGGUGACACAGUGGGUUAAGGAUCCAGUGUUGUCACUGCUGUGGCUCAGGUCACUGCUGUGCCACUGGUUCAAUCCCUGGCCUGAGAACUUCCACUUGCUGGGGGUGCGGCAAAAAAAAAAAAAAAAAAAAAAAAAAGUCCAGAAUAUUUAAUUUUAGUCACAAAAGGACAGCCAAUUAAGUCCUGAGCAGAAUAAAUAAGGAGGCAAAGAUGGAAAUUCCCAGAGCUGAAAACAGUCACACAUCUUCAAAUUAAAAAGGCCACCAAUCACAAUUUUUUACAAAAAUUCUAUAUGUUCCUAAAUGUUACCUCAUCUUAAGAAGCUACACACCUGGAGUUCCCGUCUUGGUGCAGUGGUUAAUGAAUCUGACUAUGAUCCAUGAGAUUGUGGGUUCGAUCCCUGCUCUUGCUUAGUGGGUUGACGAUCUGGUGUUGCCGUGAGCUGUGGUGUAGGUCGCAGACGUGGCUCGGAUCCCACGUUGCUUUGGCUCUGGCAUAGGCUGGCAGCUACAGCUCCGUUUAGACUCCUAGCCUGGGAACCUCCACAUGCCGCGGGAGUGGCCCAAGAAAUGGCAAAAAGACAAAAAAAAAGAAGCUACACACCGACCCAUUGUUCUCAUUUACAGCAACAUGUUCCUUUCCUUCUUUUCACAUGACUGACUUUGUGUAUUCACUCAUUUAUACUCUUGUCUUUUUUAGCCCCAACCCUCAAAUAUAUUCUCCGUACAGACAGAGACCCUGUCUACCUUGUUUUCUGUUAUUUCUAGAGCAUAUGCAUGCAGUGUCUGGCUUCAGAGCUGGGUCUAGGGCAGAGAUGUAAGGGGCACUCACUCUCAGAGUCAUGCAUUACACUGAAAAUAGGCCUGAAAGAUUACACUUGUUUUAAACAACAACACGGAAAAUUUGAUUGUCAAUAGCCUUCUUAUCAGCAACACUGGAUGAUGGAAGAUAAUGGGGAGACGGGAUUAAGAUGGCAGAAUAGAAGGACUGGAGCUCAACUUCUCUCCCAAAAACAACAGAAUUCACAAUUAAAGGCUGAGCAAUCUUCAACCGGAAGAUUGACUGGAAACCUUAAAAAAGAUAUCCUACUCCAGAAGAAAAAGAAGAGGCCACAUCAUAGAGGUAGGAGGGGCGAUUACAUGAUAUAAGCAACCCCAUACCUCCUGGGUGGGAAGCCCCACAGACUGGAAACUAACUGGUUCACAGAGACUCACCUACAGGAGUGAGAGUUCCGAGCCCCACAUCAAACCCUCACUUGCGGGGAUCUGGCACUGGGAGAAAGAGCCCCCAGAGCAUCUGGCAUUGAAGGCCAGUGGGGCUUGUGCGCAGGAGCUCCAUGGGACUGGGGGAAACUGAGACCCCAUUCUUAAUAGGCACACACAGACUUUCACGUGCACUGGGUCCCAGGGCAAAGCAAAGUCUCCAUAGGAAUCUGGGUCAAACCUGACUGCAGUUCUUGGAGGACCUCCUGGGAAAACAGGUGUGAAUGUGGCUUGUUGUGGGGGAGGGACACUGGAAGCAAAGGUCUUGGGAAUAUUCAUCAGCCGUGCCUUUCUCUGGAGGGGGCCAUUUUGGGAAAACCUAGCCCUCAUCAGUGCUGAGAAGACCCAGGCCAAAUAACAAUCCAGGUGGGAUCGCAGCCCCGCCCAUCAGGCUGCCUAAAGACCCCCAGGCACACAGCCACCUCUAAUCUCACCCAGAGACAAAGCCCCACCCACCAGAGGGACAGGAAUCAGCUCCACCUACCAGUGGGCACCCUCAGUCCCUCCCAUCAGGAAACCUAUAGCAAGCCCCCUACCAGCUUCAGCCACAAGGGGGGCAGACACCAGAAGGAAGAGAGGCUACAACUCUAUUAUCUGUAAAAAGAUCACCACACCAAAAACCUAUAAAAAUGAAAAGACAGAGAACUAUAACUCAGAUGAGGGAGAAAGGAAAAACCCCAGAAAAUCAGCUAAGNNNNNNNNNNNNNNNNNNNNNNNNNNNNNNNGAUGAGGAGAUUCUCAGCCUCCAGGAAAAAGACUUUAGACUGUUGAUGCUGAAGAUGAUGCAAGACAUUGGAAAUAAACUGGAGGCAAAGAUGGAUAACUUACAGGAAACACUGACCAAAGAGAUACAAGAUUUAAAACUUAAACAAGAAGAGAUGCAAAAUACAAUAACUGAAAUAAAAAAAAAUUCCCUAGAAGCAGGAGGCAGAAGAAUGAAUAAGCAAGAAGUAUACACCCAUGGUUCCCAUCGUGGCUCAGCAGUUAACAAACCUGACUGGAUCCAUGAGGAUGUGGGUUCUAUCCCUGGCCUUGCUCGGUGGGUUAAGGAUCUGGCGUUGCUAUGAGCUGUGGGAUAGGUCGAAGACGUAGCUAGGAUGCCACAUUUCUGUGGCUCUGGCCAAGGCUGGCAGCUACAGCUCUGGUUGGACCCCUAGCCUGGGAACUUCCAUAUGCUGCAGGUGUGGCCCUAAAAGACAAAAAUAAGUAAAUAAGUAAAUAAUAAAAGUAUACACCCUAUCAGCCAGCAUUCAAACGGGAGAACAAAAUAAAGAUUUCCUCGAAAGUGUUCUGAAAGUUUAUCAUGUUCAGCGCCUUUCUGAAAAAAUUGCUUGAGAACGUAUUUCAGAAAAAUAAAACUUGGAAGGAAGAAAAAAAGUGGAGCACCAAAAACCCUUGUGUAGAAAGAUGGUAGUUAAGUAUAAAUAGUUACAAUACGUAAUGUAAAUAAACGCAUGAAAGCUGGAAUUAAAACCCCCGAUGAUUUCCUUAUGGUAGGAAAUGGAGAGAAAGGGGAAGAAUUUCCUAAGACAUUAGUCUUAUUAUUUGGAAAGGACAUAACUACGGUUUAACUCUAUACACUGAGUGAAAAAUAAAUAGGAGCACUAGGUUUUUAAAAUAAUUAUUGGAGGAAUAGAGUAUGUAUAAUUUCCAAAGCAAGACUAGAAAAGAAAACACAAAUGAAUCUAAAAAAUUUAUAUGUGUCUACAUCUAAAAAUUUAAAUUAUAAGGAUAUUUUUUAACCUGAUACAAUAUGUGCUAAAAAUUUGAUCUCUGGAGAGAUUUGGAGAUAACUAAGAAGUAAGUUGGGGGGUGGAAUGCAGAUGAAAGGAGAAUUACAUUUUUUGGCCACUCCAAAUAUUUCUGAUUUGGUUUCAUAAAUGUGUAUUCAGGUAUGAUGAAGGUACUUUGUUUGGCUGUGCCCACAGCAUGAGGAAGAUCCUGGGCCAGGGAUGGAACCUAUACCACAGCAGAAACCCGAGCCACAGCAAAACCCUAUGUUUUAAGUACCACAGGAUUUUUUAACUGAUAGAAAUCCUAAUGGGAAUUCUUUUGUUUUCUUUUUUCUCUCUCUCGAUCCCUCCCUGCCUUCUUCCACUCUACCUCCCCUCUGCUUUCUUUUACUUUUUCUUUUCUUUUUCUUUUUCUUUUUUUAUUUUUAGGGCUGCACCUGCGGCAUAUGGGAGUUCCUGGACUAGGGUUCAAAUCAGAGCUGCAGCUACCACCCU